AUUUUAACCGCUUUUACGUCAGUUAUCAGCAGUUUUAUGUUCUCCCCUUUUUCCUCCCAUGUCCCAGGUAACCUCCAUCCUCAAUUUUAUGGUCUCCUCUUUUUACUCCCUACGUCACAGAUCCACCUAUAGAUGAACAAAUGGAUGUUUCUAUGAAUCAAACUCUCAAAAAGAUUGAUAGCUUUACUCAGCAGGUAAUCAUAUCCAGGUAAUCACAACCCGAUGACAUUGAGGAGAUUCUCUAUGGUUGCAAGAGUUCGAGACGUGAUUUCAUCCACAUGUACGUUUUCAAAAACAUACGAUUAAAGUCUCUGAAACUUCAUCUCUCUCUCUCCCUUUAUUCUAAAUCACUCGUCUGAAUUUCAUCCACACAUAGGUGUUAUCGAUCAAUUUUGUGUUUAUCUGCAUCUCUAGGAUGUUUAGGGUCGAAACACUGUCAAUUCUGCAUUUUUUUGGCAAUUCUUGCAGAUGAUUCUGUAACAAUAGCCUUAUAUUAUGGGUUCAAGAAGCAAAUCCACGACGAUGUCUAAAAAGGUAAAGGAAAUUGGGAUAAUUCAAGACCCACUCUGCAAAACAUACCCUACCAUCGCUACAUAAUGGAAGAAGAACACGAGAUUGGUAUUUGGGGGAUUCUAAUUUCUGGUCUAAUUGGAGCUACUGCCACUACUCUUACUAUGUGUAUCAAGCACAAAUACAGUUACAAUUUUGCCCCUUCCACUGAUUUGGUUAAAGAAAUGCAGAUGUUUUCAAGGCAUUGAUUCUCUCUGUGGCAACAUGUUUAAAUAAUGCAUCAGGUCCUCGAAAGGAACACUUAGUGGUUCAGGUGGAACACUUAGUGGUUCAGGUGCUGGGCUCAUAGUGUUGUCUUCACAAUUGGCCAGAUAAGAAGUGAUUUUUUCAGCUCUGCACACUUGAAUUUGAGACACGGCGUGCUUCAUAUUACUGGUUACUAGAUGCACUGGGUCUUUACCAGCCUUACGUAUGGGAGUAUUCACGUUUGAAUAUAACCAACACUGCGAUGUCAAAAGUUGAACCGACUAGUGAUCGAGAACUAUGUGGAUGGAUGGGAUGAUCCACGUUUGAUGACACUAGCGGGUUUGAGGCGUAGGGGUGUCACUUCUACAGCAAUAAAUGCUUUUGUUAGAGGAAUUGGGAUUACCACAAGUGAUAGUAGUAUGAUACGUUUGGAGCGCCUUGAAUAUCAUGUACGGGAAGAACUUAAUAAAACAGCUUCUCUUGCGAUGGUUGUGCUACAUCCACUAAAGGUAGUUAUUACCAAUCUUGAACCAAGUUCAAUAAUAGAUCUUGAUGCAAAGAAAUGGCCAGAUGCCCCUGUUGAUGAUGCAUCUUCAUACUACAAGGUAGACUUCUCACUCUCUCUCUAUGUAUUGGUAUUAUGAUGGUGUAUUGCAAAAAUGGGUAGGUUGGGUAACAGGUCAGGUACGUUGGGGGUCGUACUAAAUGGCACCAACGGGUCAACUUCAUAAAACGGGUCAAGCAGGUAAGCUUUUUUAAAUAGGUAGAACAGUCAUUUUCUUUUUAAUGGGUCGAAUGAGUUCAUUUUACCAAAGGGUGAAACAAGAUAGAUUUCUUACUUGGGUAACGCGGUUAAAACGAGUUUUCUUUUAAGUAUAGGUCAAAGCAGGUCAAGUAAGUUGGUCGAAACGGGUCAGGUAGGUUGGUUCCAUACUAAAUGGGAGGUGGUUCCGACCUUGCUUACUUCAAACUUUUAGAAAUCAAGUUCUUUUUUUUAAUAUGUUUUACAUAAACAAUUCUUUGCACAUAUGUCUGAUGACAUGGGAGGUGGUUCCGACCUUGCUUAUUUCAGCUUCACUGUCAUAGGAGGUGUUGCUAAUGACAAUCGUGUAGCUUUUAACUUUUCUUCAUCUUCACAUGAAAGACACAGGGGGAGGAAGGUGAUCCUGCUUCUAAGCAACUUCAUAGUUGUGAUUGUGAGUCAGUUGGGUCUAAUGUGUGUGUAGUUUGCGGGGUGUGGGGGACUUGGGUUGACAUGUGGCGGAGGUGGGCUCCACAUUGUGUGGCUUGGCUGGGCGUGGCUUUUUUUUUGGGUGUGGGGUGGCCUGGCGUGGCUUUUUUUGGGUCAAAUAUGCCCAGCCAGUCCUAGCCAUCCACGUCAUCUCCUCCCCUGCCCCACGUCGGGCUUCAUAGCCACGCCAGCGGGCAACACCGCAACCCACGCUGACCCGAUGUGGCUGAACCGGCGUUGCUUGGCUUCCCCGCCCCAACCCACGCCCCACGGUCUAAGUAGUGGUCAUUUAGUUUUUUGUUAGUUUUUGGCGAAAGUCAGUUUUACUUUUAUCCGCCGACAUUUUAAGGCUAAUGGUGAAUAUUAUAUUCUAUUUUGUUUAUUGGCCGUCUGAAUGAAUAUAACAAAACCAUCUACACACUUGUGACGUUCGUUUUCCUUUUAUAAAAAGAAUGGUGUUUUUCUUUG